rnacentral:lncRNA from 1 species
UUCUUGACGGUACAUUUCGGAUUUGUGUAUUAAGGAUUAAUUAAUUAGAUUGAUUUCACAUGUCUAAAUAAUUUACAAGUUUCUGCACUAAAGAUUUCAUUCCAAUAAUCAUGUCUCAUUAUAUAUAUAUAUACAUGUAUGUAUGUUGAUAUCAACCUUCUUGCAAUAUUCGAGAGUCUUAACAUAUUUAUAGCCAUGGAUAUUAUCGGGUAAGUAAUUUACAACUUAAUGUUAAUAUAUAGUUAACUUCGUAUGUUAAAUAAAAUAAUUAGCAAUCUAUAAUUAUCCAGAAAUUAAUUUGACUAAAAGUAAGGAUCUUAAACAUCAAACAAAGAAAAGUAAUUAACGGUAAAAUCCCUUCAUAUAUGCACUAAUUAUAUUAAAUAUGUGUAAUUUCUCCAUUUACAAACAUACAUAGAAAUAAAUAUUAUAUAUAUAUAUAUAAAAAAAAAAAAAAAGGAUCAGGACUUACGUACUCACUAGUAUUAAUUUCUACAAAUUAAUUAGCUAAAAAUUAACUAAGUUUAAUUUCGCUAAAAUCCCUUAAUCGAAAAAUAGAGGGAUUAAGGGUCCGACACUAAUAUACUUGUUCUUCUUUCUUUGCUUUCUUUUUCUUUUUCUUUUUUUUUUUUUUCUCUCCUCUCGAAUUAAUCCUAAUUAAUAACUAAUUAAUUAAUUAACAAGCUGCAGAAGAAUUGGUGAAGGGAUUAUAGAAGUUAGACUUAGGAGCCAUUGAGAAGGGGCUCUUGGAGUUGCCGUCGCUGG